GACGAACGCUGGCGGCGUGCCUAAUACAUGCAAGUAGAACGCUGAAGAGAGGAGCUUGCUCUUCUUGGAUGAGUUGCGAACGGGUGAGUAACGCGUAGGUAACCUGCCUUGUAGCGGGGGAUAAUUAUUGGAAACGAUAGCUAAUACCGCAUAACAAUGGAUGACACAUGUCAUUUAUUUGAAAGGGGCAAUUGCUCCACUACAAGAUGGACCUGCGUUGUAUUAGCUAGUAGGUGAGGUAAUGGCUCACCUAGGCGACGAUACAUAGCCGACCUGAGAGGGUGAUCGGCCACACUGGGACUGAGACACGGCCCAGACUCCUACGGGAGGCAGCAGUAGGGAAUCUUCGGCAAUGGGGGCAACCCUGACCGAGCAACGCCGCGUGAGUGAAGAAGGUUUUCGGAUCGUAAAGCUCUGUUGUAAGUCAAGAACGGGUGUGAGAGUGGAAAGUUCACACUGUGACGGUAGCUUACCAGAAAGGGACGGCUAACUACGUG
rnacentral:rRNA from 1 species